rnacentral:rRNA from 1 species
UACGUAGGGGGCAAGCGUUGUCCGGAAUCAUUGGGCGUAAAGAGCGUGUAGGCGGCUCGAUAAGUCUGCUGUGAAAGUCCAGGGCUCAACCCUGGAAGGCCGGUGGAAACUGUCGGGCUAGAGUCCGGAAGAGGCGAGUGGAAUUCCCGGUGUAGCGGUGAAAUGCGCAGAUAUCGGGAAGAACACCCGUGGCUAAGGCGGCUCUCUAGUACGGUACUGACGCUGAGACGCGAAAGCGUGGGGAGCGAACAGG